GUGAAGGAGUAAGGCGACACGAUAAGUUGAACAUAUCAAGUCACAUUUAAACAAUACCGACUCGUUCGUUCCCGGGUGAGGCAGACAAAAGCGGAGCUGGAUGAUGUCGAUACUGGUAAUAGGCAGCUGCCGAUCCCUCCACGCCUGCCCCGACAACCACAACGUCGUAUAUUUCAUCAGACAUCGUCGACGAUGGUUGAAUCUUGUCUUCGUCUUGAAACUGUCUCAACUAAACAGCAAACCAGCGAAUGUGCGUGACUCUUGCUCGAGCUGAAACCUUUAAUAAUGCCCAAAGUAGGUCAGUCAAAUCAAGGGGCAGACGACAAUAACUCGCAUGAACUAAGGCUAUGUACAUGACGACACAAGGACCAUGCUCCGGUUUGGUGCGGCGAGCACCGAUUCUAUUGACAUCAGCGAGGCUACCUGGCAUUAAUACACAGUUCUUCGCUGAUAAAGAAAACAAACCUCAGAAACUAUGAAUGGAUGCACACAUAUGGAAUUAGAUAUUUAGAUACAGUAAACUACGGUUAUAACGAACUCAAAAGGACCACUAAUUUUAUUCGAUAUAACCGUAGUUCGUUAAAAGCAUAUGUAAACAUAUAUACAGAAAAUGGACGGCACCAUGAAAUUGUUCGUUUUUUUCCGACAGUUCGUUAUAAGCGUGUUCGUUAUAAACGUAGUUUACUGUAUUUGAAAGGAUGUCGUUAUUGUAUUUCUUUUUGUCAGGCUUAUUCAUCAGAUAUAGCCGUUGUCUUUAGUGAACCAUUACUUAUUAAACCUAUUCGAGUGUGCAGA